rnacentral:rRNA from 1 species
UACGUAGGGACCAAGCGUUGUUCGGAUUUACUGGGCGUAAAGGGCGCGUAGGCGGCAAUUCAAGUCAGCUGUGAAAUCUCCGGGCUUAACUCGGAACGGUCAGCUGAUACUGUUUUGCUAGAGUGCGGAAGGGGCAAUCGGAAUUCUCGGUGUAGCGGUGAAAUGCGUAGAUAUCGAGAGGAACACCUGAGGUGAAGACGGGUUGCUGGGCUGACACUGACGCUGAUGCGCGAAAGCCAGGGUAGCAAACGGG